CCCUACUGCUAUCGGGGUGGGACUAAGACAUGCGAGUCGAGCGUCUCCAGCUAUGGUGAGACGCGGCAGACGGCUCAGUAACACGUGGCUAACCUACCCUCAGGACAGGGACAAACCCGGGAAACUGGGGCUAAUACCCGAUAGGCGAGGGCGCCUGGAAUGGUUCUUCACCCAAAGGGCUUUGGAAGCAUGCUUUUCAAAGUCGCCUGGGGAUGGGGCCGCGUCCGAUCAGGUUGUUGGUGAGGUAACGGCUCACCAAGCCUAUAACCGGUACGGGCCGUGAGAGCGGUAGCCCGGAGAUGGGCACUGAGACAAGGGCCCAGGCCCUACGGGGCGCAGCAGUCGCGAAAACUCCGCAAUGCACGAAAGUGUGACGGGGCUACCCCGAGUGCCGUCCGCUGAGGAUGGCUUUUCCUCGGUGUAACUAGCCGGGGGAAUAAGGAGAGGGCAAGACUGGUGUCAGCCGCCGCGGUAAUACCAGCUCUCCGAGUGGUAGGGAUGAUUAUUGGGCUUAAAGCGUCCGUAGCCGGCUUAGCAAGUCUCCUGUUAAAUUCAGCGACCUAAUCGUUGAGCCGCGGGAGAUACUACUAGGCUAGGAGGCGGGAGAGGUCGACGGUACUUCCGGGGUAGGGGUGAAAUCCUAUAAUCCCGGGCGGACCACCAGUGGCGAAGGCUGUCGACUAGAACGCGCUCGACGGUGAGGGACGAAAGCUGGGGGAGCGAACCGGAUUAGAUACCCGGGUAGUCCCAGCCGUAAACGAUGCGGGCUAGGUGUUGGGGUGGCUACGUGCCACUUCAGUGCCGCAAGGAAGCCAUUAAGCCCGCCGCCUGGGGAGUACGGCCGCAAGGCUGAAACUUAAAGGAAUUGGCGGGGGAGCACCACAAGGCGUGAAGCUUGCGGUUC
rnacentral:rRNA from 1 species